UACCAGCACCCCGAGUGGUCGGGACGUUUAUUGGGCCUUAAAGCAUCCGUAGCCGGUUCUACAAGUCUUCCGUUAAAUCCAACUGCUUAACAGGUGGGCUGCGGAAGAUACUAUAGAGCUAGGAAGGCGGGAGAGGCAAGCGGUACUCGAUGGGUAGGGGUAAAAUCCGUUGAUCCAUUGAAGACCACCAGUGGCGAAGGCGGCUUGCCAGAACGCGCUCGACGGUGAGGGAUGAAAGCUGGGG
rnacentral:rRNA from 1 species